GGUGAAGUCUGCCCGGUGAAUAAAUUUUUUUAACGGCCGCAGUACUUUGACUGUGCUAAGGUAGCAAAAUAAAUAGACUUUUAAUUAAGGUCGAGUAUGAAUGGCAUUAUGGGUGAGCUCUGUCUUAUAUAUUUUUUAUGAAUUUAUUUAUUAGGUGAAAAUACCUAUAUACUAAUAUCAGACGAGAAGACCCUUAGAGUUUUUAAUAAGUAAUUUCUAUAAUUAAUUUUUUUUGUUGGGGCGACACAGUAUCAUAUAAAGCAUACUUAAUUUAUAUUUACAAGUCUUUAUUUAUAAGUGUAUAUAACUACCUAAGGGAUAACAGCAUAAUUUUUUUUAAGAUUGUGACCUCGAUGUUGGACUAGGGACUAAGAAUAUUAGUCAUAUU
rnacentral:rRNA from 1 species